AUCUACAGCCAUACCUCCAUGAACACUCUCAAUCUCGUCUGAUCUUGGAAACAAAGUAGGGUGGGCCUUGUGAGUACUUGGAAGGGAGAAAAGUGAUCUUAUGCACUUUCUUACAGAUGAUUGGGAGUUUAAAAUA
rnacentral:rRNA from 1 species